GAGGUUGUGCCCUUGAGGCGUGGCUUCCGGAGCUAACGCGUUAAGUAGACCGCCUGGGGAGUACGGCCGCAAGGUUAAAACUCAAAUGAAUUGACGGGGGCCCGCACAAGCGGUGGAGCAUGUGGUUUAAUUCGAUGCAACGCGAAGAACCUUACCUGGUCUUGACAUCCACAGAAGAAUCCAGAGAUGGAUUUGUGCCUUCGGGAACUGUGAGACAGGUGCUGCAUGGCUGUCGUCAGCUCGUGUUGUGAAAUGUUGGGUUAAGUCCCGCAACGAGCGCAACCCUUAUCCUUUGUUGCCAGCGGUCCGGCCGGGAACUCAAAGGAGACUGCCAGUGAUAAACUGGAGGAAGGUGGGGAUGACGUCAAGUCAUCAUGGCCCUUACGACCAGGGCUACACACGUGCUACAAUGGCGCAUACAAAGAGAAGCGACCUCGCGAGAGCAAGCGGACCUCAUAAAGUGCGUCGUAGUCCGGAUUGGAGUCUGCAACUCGACUCCAUGAAGUCGGAAUCGCUAGUAAUCGUGGAUCAGAAUGCCACGGUGAAUACGUUCCCGGGCCUUGUACACACCGCCCGUCACACCAUGGGAGUGGGUUGCAAAAGAAGUAGGUAGCUUAACCUUCGGGAGGGCGCUUACCACUUUGUGAUUCAUGACUGGGGUGAAGUCGUAACAAGGUAACCGUAGGGGAACCUGC
rnacentral:rRNA from 1 species